rnacentral:rRNA from 1 species
AUGACGGUACCUAACCAGAAAGCCACGGCUAACUACGUGCCAGCAGCCGCGGUAAUACGUAGGUGGCAAGCGUUGUCCGGAAUUAUUGGGCGUAAAGGGCUCGCAGGCGGUUUCUUAAGUCUGAUGUGAAAGCCCCCGGCUCAACCGGGGAGGGUCAUUGGAAACUGGGAAACUUGAGUGCAGAAGAGGAGAGUGGAAUUCCACGUGUAGCGGUGAAAUGCGUAGAGAUGUGGAGGAACACCAGUGGCGAAGGCGACUCUCUGGUCUGUAACUGACGCUGAGGAGCGAAAGCGUGGGGAGCGAACAGGAUUAGAUACCCUGGUAGUCCACGCCGUAAACGAUGAGUGCUAAGUGUUAGGGGGUUUCCGCCCCUUAGUGCUGCAGCUAACGCAUUAAGCACUCCGCCUGGGGAGUACGGUCGCAAGACUGAAACUCAAAGGAAUUGACGGGGGCCCGCACAAGCGGUGGAGCAUGUGGUUUAAUUCGAAGCAACGCGAAGAACCUUACCAGGUCUUGACAUCCUCUGACAACCCUAGAGAUAGGGCUUUCCCUUCGGGGACAGAGUGACAGGUGGUGCAUGGUUGUCGUCAGCUCGUG